rnacentral:misc_RNA from 1 species
UAACAAACCUGAUUGGAACGGCAGCUCCCGAUUUUACAUCGGGACUAAAGUGUAAAGCACGACUAUAU